AUACCUUUUCAGCAGGCAGCAAAGAACCUCCCAGAGAAUCCUCACUGCAACAUCUGGUGAAGGGCAGGUCCUGCAG